AGCAUAUCAAUAAGCGGAGGAAAAGAAACCAACAGGGAUUGCUCUAGUAACGGCGAGUGAAGCAGCAAUAGCUCAAAUUUGAAAUCUGGCGUCUUCGACGUCCGAGUUGUAAUUUGUAGAGGAUGCUUCUGAGUAACCACCGACCUAAGUUCCUUGGAACAGGACGUCAUAGAGGGUGAGAAUCCCGUAUGCGGUCGGAAAGGUGCUCUAUACGUAGCUCCUUCGACGAGUCGAGUUGUUUGGGAAUGCAGCUCUAAAUGGGAGGUAAAUUUCUUCUAAAGCUAAAUAUUGGCCAGAGACCGAUAGCGCACAAGUAGAGUGAUCGAAAGAUGAAAAGCACUUUGGAAAGAGAGUUAAAAAGCACGUGAAAUUGUUAAAAGGGAAGGGAUUGCAACCAGACUUGCUCGCGGUGUUCCGCCGGUCUUCUGACCGGUCUACUCGCCGCGUUGCAGGCCAGCAUCGUCUGGUGCCGCUGGAUAAGACUUGAGGAAUGUAGCUCCCUCGGGAGUGUUAUAGCCUCUUGUGAUGCAGCGAGCGCCGGGCGAGGUCCGCGCUUCGGCUAGGAUGCUGGCGUAAUGGUCGUAAUCCGCCCGUCUUGAAACACGGACCAAGGAGUCUAACAUCUAUGCGAGUGUUCGGGUGUCAAACCCCUACGCGUAAUGAAAGUGAACGGAGGUGAGAACCGCAAGGUGCAUCAUCGACCGAUCCUGAUGUCUUCGGAUGGAUUUGAGUAAGAGCAUAGCUGUUGGGACCCGAAAGAUGGUGAACUAUGCCUGAAUAGGGUGAAGCCAGAGGAAACUCUGGUGGAGGCUCGCAGCGGUUCUGACGUGCAAAUCGAUCGUCAAAUUUGGGUAUAGGGGCGAAAGACUAAUCGAACCAUCUAGUAGCUGGUUCCUGCA
rnacentral:rRNA from 1 species